UGACAGUAGGUGGGGGCUGUAUAAACACACAUUCACUUCCUGACAACUUCCUUGAUGAUAAACAUGGAACUUUGACCAAAGGCUAUCAGAACAAGUUCACAAAUAAAAAACAUAUUCAUGAUACCUUGUGUAAGGAAUUUCAAAGACACAGAAAUUUAGUAAAGAUCGGGGAUACAGUAAAGAGGUCAAUGGAAUGCAGGCCGUGGGAUAGAAGAACACUGGAUUGGUGCACAUUCAACCAAUCUGAUCUGUGGUUAUUUGUCAAAUCCGUCAUAAUUUAUGUAUUGUAACAGGCCCACAAUGUGGUUUCUAAAAUCGGAUUAUAUUUGGCUGUUUUCACUGCAUAACAUUUAGAAGUUGUCCCUUUUCAGGUUUAGAAAAACGAACUCCCAUUCGUAUCAGCAUACAAAAAUCGAAAGUGGUAAUCAAAGUCGUUUUUACCCGUAAUGCAGUUGAUUGAUGAUGAUGACAUCAAUGUAUUUGGGUUGACAGAUUUGGACCUCAACAUAGUGUGGAAUACACAUAUAAACAAUAGCCUAAAUUUAGAAUUGUUUUGCUGUGGAGCUAUGAGGAGAUUCGUGGUGGGGAAACGGUGGUCGUUUUACAUCAUGCUAUCUUGGCUGAACUCCUGAACUGGGAAACGGACUCCAACAUCUCAGAAUAGGUAGUUGGAGAGCUCCAGGUUCUUGCAGAGGAGGUAGCAGAAAUGAGAGACUGAGAACGCGUGCAUCCAGUUGUGAUAUGGAGGAUCCCUGUAGCCUCUCUUCACCAUCAGACAGAACCUGGCCAGCGUGUGCAUGUUGAUCUUGUAGGUGUUUAUGAAACCCAUGUCCUCAAACAUGCUGAUCACGGCCUAGGAACAGGAGGUAUAAUCGAGAGACAUGAGAAAACAGAAAUAAUACACACUACCAGUGUCUUUCUCCAAGAGUGUGUGUUGAUUGUCUCACUGUGGGUGUGCUGUCGUCUGACAGGGAGCGAGGUGUGUAGGUGAAGCUGGAGAAGCUGGGGUGUAUUUCUCCUACAGCCUGGAUGCCCACAGUCAGUAGCCGGGUGACUUCCUCGUCUGACACCUGAGAGACAGGGUCAAAGGUCAGGAAAUUAACUGCCAAAUAUAACAAAAUGGCUGGAUCUACAUUAAUAGAUUUAAGAGACAAGUUGAAUAGGUUGAAGAAGAGCUCUGAUUGGAUGCUUUACCAUCAUGUGGUACUUCAUCAUCUCAUUGGCCAGCUGACUCCUAAACUGUGCUUCAUCGACCCUCUUAUACAGGAGGGACUGAGGAGGAACAGAAAGCACAGGAGUCAUUCAACAUGAUGACAAUAUUGUUGAUGACAAAUUAGUGUUAAACAAUUUAUCAAUAUCCACACUAAGAACGAUAACUUUAACUUUUUGGUAUUUAUUAUUGUUCUAAUUCAAGUGAACAGGAGCGUUCACAGUACAACGACAACUACAAAAAGAGUGGGGAACGAUUACAAGAGCUAUCGUUUGGAUCACUUUCAGAGCGAUUUCUUUUCCAUAUCCCUCUGAUGAUAAAAAAUUGACAACCAAUCGAAAAAGCAUUCUAUUGAACUAUUCUUGGUUCUAGGUGCGCGAGGCUGCUCGGGGAGGAGAGAGGGCUGAGUGCAUGGUAAGCUUGCCUGAAUAACUGGGCAUGUGUGAGUAUAUUGGUGGCCACAUUAAUUAUAGGACAUCUUGGGAGAAUGAUGAUCCACGACAAACAGCGCAUGAGAAGUCCAUAUUUUAAAAAACAUUUAUCAUAUUUUACAAUACACUCUUACAAAGUACACACUAUGACUGGCCUACUAAUAUGCCUUUCUGGACUUUGUAAAUGUCACGCCCUGACCUCAGAGAGCCUUUUUAUUUCUCUAUUUGGUUAGGUCGGGGUGUGAUUUGGGUGGGCAUUCUAGUUUUUCUAUUUCUUUGUUGGCCGGGUAUGGUUCCCAAUCAGAGGCAGCUGUCUAUCUUUGUCUCUGAUUGGGGAUCAUACAUAGGCAGCCUUUUCCACCUUUAGUUUGUGGGAUCUUGUUUUUGGUUAGUUGCUGUGUUAGCGCUACAAAACUUUACGUGUUGUUUAUUCUUUCUUGUUUUUGGUGUUCAUUUAAUAAAUUUAUGAUGUACACGUA